AACAAAGCAGCAGCCAACAUGAGAAACAACAGUUAAGUUUUUUUUUUGCCAUGGCGACUGCGACGCUUUGCUUUAGACUUUUAUUGCAGCUAACGUCAAAUGAACAGUUCAGUUUAGUCCGUUGGCUUUGAGUUAUUCGCCGCCGCACUUAUCGGGACUUGCACACUCAAAUUAUAUCUAAAUUAAAUAUAUUAUUCAGUUUUUUUUUUCUUUCUUCUCAUUUGCCACAAAGAUCAAAAGUUGCCAGUGAGAAAAACGAAAGAUCCAGGCAAACUGUGUGUAUUCAGACAGAUUAAUUGUGCACAAAUCGAAAGUAAAAGCGGCCGCGAAUUGAACACACGAGUUGAACAAGUUUAGCUCUCUGCAAAAAAAAAAUAAAUAAAUAAAGUAAAAGACAUACAUAAGUGCAAAGUGACAGUGUAAUGUCAAUGACAUCCACUAAAUCUCCAGAAUCUAACAAAAAUCGGUUUUGUAAGCGUCUCUCAGCUUGGCUCAACUGACAGAAGAGGCAAAAAUUAAAAUACUGCAA